GUAUACACACUUUAUAGCACACACACAUUGGGGAUUGGCUCUAAUGCUUUGUUUUAUUUCAGCUCCCAAAAAGCUGCACUUCCAGACCCGAGGGUCCCCUCCCCCAGCUGUCUUCGAUUGAUCAUAAAGAAUUGCCAGACAGCCAAUGGCUGUGGGGACUUAAACAGAACAUGAAGACGUCACUGGAGCCCGCUUCUCUUUUGUCAUGACCGGUGGUGAUGCUCUUGCCUUAAACUGGCUGUCAAGUGGCUUUAAUUGCUGUUGAUAAGAACUGUGGUCUAAUUUGUUCGCUAAUUCGCUAGCUUAUCUUAAAACCUACUUAGUGUUGACUCUGUGCCAAGCUUUGGGGGUUGGGGUUGGAGUCGGGGUGGGAGUUAAGGGAAGGGGAGAAGGGGAAAGAGAACAUUAUGAGAGACACAGUGAGCCACGGUCUUCAGGUGACCGUGACUGAAGCAUGCUGAUGGAACAUACUUAGGAUCAGUUAGAAAAUGGAACCAAAGGGCCAAUGCCCCUAACCGGGGCCUUCUUAUCUUGUUCCUGUGGUAGAAAGAACUUUAGCCUCUUUUAGUGUCUUGGAAGCCUCUAAUCUAGUUUGGUUUUCGAUGCUGGGGGUGGGAGCUAGGCUUUGCGCAUGCUAUUCAAGUGCUUUUAACACAGUGACGUCCCAGACCAGCUGUCCGUCCUGACCCAGCUCUGUGUUAGAAGAAUAUUCAUCUUCCUGGUGUCCACUGGCCCACUUAUCUUGUGAUGACCAGGAUGUGAGAAAUAGUGUCUAUGGCAUGAGAAAAUAAUCCUAGAACCAGGAAUAGACAUCUAGGAGAUGGAAAAUGAAUACACAUUCUGACAAGUCA